rnacentral:rRNA from 1 species
GACGUAGGGCGCGAGCGUUGUCCGGAUUUAUUGGGCGUAAAGAGCUCGUAGGCGGUUUGUCGCGUCGUCCGUGAAAACUUGGGGCUCAACCCCAAGCUUGCGGGCGAUACGGGCAGACUUGAGUACUGCAGGGGAGACUGGAAUUCCUGGUGUAGCGGUGAAAUGCGCAGAUAUCAGGAGGAACACCGGUGGCGAAGGCGGGUCUCUGGGCCGUAACUGACGCUGAGGAGCGAAAGCGUGGGGAGCGAACAGG